UACGUAGGGCGCAAGCGUUGUCCGGAAUUAUUGGGCGUAAAGAGCUCGUAGGUGGUUUGUCGCGUCUGCCGUGAAAGCCCGGGGCUUAACUCCGGGUCUGCGGUGGAUACGGGCAGACUAGAGGCAGGUAGGGGAGAACGGAAUUCCCGGUGUAGCGGUGAAAUGCGCAGAUAUCGGGAGGAACACCAGUGGCGAAGGCGACUACCUGGCCCAUUCUUGACGCUGAGGCGCGAAAGCUAGGGGAGCGAACGGG
rnacentral:rRNA from 1 species